GCUCCGAAAUUUCCCCAUUCUCGUUCGGCCCCCUCGUCUCCAGUCGAUUGUGGCCGGCGGCGCAGCGGCAGCCAGGCCCCGGCGACCAACCCAAUCCCAAGCUGCCAUAUCCGCCGCUCCUCCUCAGCCUCCCCUUCCUCCUGGUGAUUGGGUUGGGCAUCCCACAUACGAGGGCAGGGGAGGCCCGACACGUGCGGUCGAGAAAGGGCGGCGCAACGGUGGCGGAGGCCAAUACUGGUGAACACGGCCCGCGAGAGAAGCUCGCGUUCGGGGAGCAAGAGCUGGUGGUGCUUCUUCCGUUCAGCCACAGAAGUGCUCCUGCUUACCGUGAAGAUCUGAGACGGGUGGCCGGGCUAGGAGGUGUCCGCGAGAGAGCGUCGGCGGCGUGGUGCUGCGUCCGAACCGUAGCGCCCUUCUGUCGAUUUCUUUGCUGGUGAGUGAUUUGAUCUUGGGCGCUUCCCCGCCGUUGUUGCUUCCGUGUUUUACCUCGACGAGCGUUUGAUUUAGUGGCGGAGGCACAGCCCGGCUAGCCUGGGCAGCCCGGGCUCCGCCGACAAAUACUCUGUCGAUUGUACAGUCGCAUGACGGCAUGAGUGUUCUACCUCCAGUUUUAUUGACAUUUUAACUCGCAGCAGUCUCAGCUCGCCAGUGUUGCCCAGGCCAAGGUUGAGCUGGGAUCAACCACUAAUUUGAUUUAUCUCCCAUUUGGUCACGGUGGUGCUUGUUAGUAAGAGAAGAAACCAGGCUCACAAAUGUUUCCAUACCUCAGCCGGAUGUAUAUUUUUCAUCAAGAAAUGUGAUUUGUAAUCAUGCGCUGUAUUUUUAUGCUUGGAAAUUUGCUUAUGGAUGAAAAAAACCGAUAAAUUCAUGAAUAUGUAUGUAAUUUUCUAUACACAGGAUGUAUGUAUUUUAUACCUAAAGUUUUUGGUCA